rnacentral:rRNA from 9 species
UGGGGAAUAUUGGACAAUGGGCGAAAGCCUGAUCCAGCAAUGCCGCGUGAGUGAUGAAGGCCUUAGGGUUGUAAAGCUCUUUUACCCGGGAUGAUAAUGACAGUACCGGGAGAAUAAGCUCCGGCUAACUCCGUG